UAACGAAUGUCCAUUUCAGAUGAGCUAUCAUCUUCGACGAAGAUGAUCUUCAAAGAUGACGAAUGCGUAGGUUCGUCGGAUCGAGUGUAUACAUUCCUCACCAGUCGUAAGGGAGGCAUCCAUUUGGUUCACGACAGGUACAUCUAUCGAUCGAACUUACGUCGAUGCGGCCGUAACAAAGACAUCAUCUACUGGGAAUGUGUGCACAACCGAGCGGAAAAAUGUCGCGGGCGACUGAAAAGCGUGGGCGAUCAACUAUACAUUUCAAACUGGAAUAUACAACACAAUCAUGAACCAGACACAAUAAAGAUAGCAACGGCCAUGGCUUCCGGGCACAUCUCUUAUAGAACGUUAUCCUCACUGGGAACCGUGUAUUCCACAAUUACAAUAUGUGAUUCGGCUUAAAAAAUGAAUAAAAUAUGUUUUCUUUUAAAAUUACAAUAAUCUUAUUUUACUAUAUUUUAUUUAAAGUAUUCAAAAACAUAAAGUUACAAUCGGUUAAUGUAUUUUGUUUCUUCUAGAUUUCAAAAUCGAAUGUGAGGCGGUACAGAUCGUCCGAAGUAGGAAGGGCAAACCUCUAUUGCUGUACAAAGGCCAUCAGUACACGUUGAACCGUCGACGGAAACAGCUGGGCUACUGGGAGUGCGUUCACAGGCGUUCGAAGCUGAAAAGUUGUCCCUCUCGGAUAACGACGGACAACGUUCAGAUUAAGCGUGUCAAGGGAGAACAUGACCACAUGCCUCCGGAGAUGAUAGAAUAUCUAUUGGAUGACUGCAAUGCAUUCCUGAAAGUAGCACCAGCAGAAUAAAAAUUGCCUUUUUGAAAUGCUCGUUUCUCUGUUUGAUUUAGUUGAUAUAAGUAAAUUUGUGUUAUCAGACCGUGAACCGUGAAUGUGAUUAAGAACGUUGAAUUUUUAAAAUUUUCACAUUCGAUCUUUACAGUUCUCAUUGACCGUCUGGUGGAGCCUGAACUAAUCAAGGAGGAGCCAAACAGGUUGCUAUUCGUUCGCAGUCGUUGGGGACGUAAACUUCUAAUCUACGAACAAUAUGUUUUCUUCUCCAACAAACGGGUCGAGGCGACGAAUACCACCUACUGGCGAUGUACGUUUUCCAGUAAUCGGAAAGGCCCAAACCGCUGCUCGGUGCGAUGCAUUACUAGAGACAAUCAGGUUAUAAACUUUCACGGACUGCAUAACCAUCCGGAUGAAAUGUCCAAACUGCAUGGAGGACAUGUUUUCGACCAGUACAGUGUGUAUGAUCCAUGAAAAAUAGUAAAACAUGUUCAAUUCAAAUUAUGCGUUUCACUGUAGUACUAGAGCGAUAUUGAGUUAAAUGCAGAAUGUCGUACAGUUUUUUCUGAUAAACGAGUUUCAAUAAAAAAUCGAUCGUCUUUCAUUCCAGUACUAGAGUAUGAAUAAAUCAUUUAAAAAAUCAACUAACAGAAUACCUUUGUUUACUUAUCUGUGGCGUUUUAAGGUGCUUACUCGCAGGAGCUGAAGUUCAUCAAAAGCCCAUGGUCUACGCCGUGUCUGGUGAUCAAUGACUUCCUGUACAACUGUCACAGUACUAGAGGGAACAAGAUGUAUUGGCGGUGCCACAACUACUCUCGAAAGAAGAAGGAAGAACGCUGCAGGGCUAGAUGCGUGAUUGUGAAUGGCAGGCUGAGCGCUCUCACAGGAACGCAGCACAACCACGAUCCACACACGGAGAAAAUUGCCAAGAUUAGUCGACGUAACAAUAUGGUGGAUGAAGUACUAGAUGUAGCCAGGGCGGAUCCACCGCCGAGCUAUCUCACUAGCGGGCUCUACAGUUCAAGCUUUUUAUCCGGUGGUUCUACUUUGCUGGACAGCGGCUCCCCGGAUAUCGGUUUGAUCAAGAUCGACGUAUUGCCUAAAUUAGAAGACUACGGCUUGCCAGUUGAACUGUAAACAUGUAUUUUUAAGCUGAAUUUUUACCUCUGAAUCGCAAUAAUAAAACUAUCAAUGUUCGUGAAGCAAUACAAA